rnacentral:misc_RNA from 1 species
GAUGCUCCAGUUCCCUUUAUUGUGAGUUUCACUUGUUUUACCAUUUCGUUGACAAGAUAUCUUGUAAUUGUUAUAGUUGUAUCUGUUAGUGAAUUAAUCUCUUCUCUUUGCCAUAUGAUUCCUUAUUUGAAUUAUCUCCACAAACUAGAACUCUAGUUUGUUCCCCUUUCUGUGAUCAUAGGAUUUAAAUUGAAGGGAAAAGAAAAAGUUAAGAGGUCAUAUGGCCAAACUUUCUGAUGACUGGAAUUUUACAUCAUAUGGUGGUCGAGUAUUAUACCAUUAGCCAAACUUCAGGCUGGCAUCACUUGGAUACAUAUAUGAGGGACUUGAUUUCCAUCUUCAGAAGGAUGAUUUAUCAAUAUCCACUAGAACUGUGCUCCAUUAUGUUGUAGCCUUGGAAUAAGAGUUAAGUCAGAGGAUGAAAGGUGAAGACAACAUAGGAUUAAUUAGGUGCUAGUACGAGGCCUCAUAUAAAGCUCUUUGUUUUAUGUUGCUGAUUUUGGCAGGCUUAUUUUCCAAGCAGUGAUCUGGUUAAAAUAUAAUGUUUUGAUCUCUUUUCUUUUGCAUCAACUGCAAAGAAAAUAAGAAGCUUUUGAAGAUGUCACAUUUUGCUGGACUGAAAUCAUGGGUAAAGAUGAAGAAUUCGGAUGGUUUGGAAGUAGUUUGGUCUAUCAAAUGGUUGAGGACAAGAUUAUAUUCUUUUGGAUGUUUAUGUGAUUGAGUUAGAUGUUAUUUCUCAACUUUUGUUAAUUUUAAUGACAUUAAAGAGAUAUUUGGAUAAGCCUUGUUACAAAUUUUAUGUAAAGUUGUUUGAAGAUCAUUACAUACUUUCGGUUUCAACCAAAUUGGAAUUCAAAAAAAAAAAAAAAGGAGAUAGUCCUAAAACUUUAA